rnacentral:rRNA from 1 species
ACAACCAGGAUGUUGGCUUAGAAGCAGCCACCAUUGAAAGAGUGCGUAAUAGCUCACUGGUCGAGUGACCCCGCGCCGAAAAUGUACCGGGGCUAAACAUAUUACCGAAACUGUGGAUGAACCUCUUCGGAGGUUCGUGGUAGGAGAGCGUUCUAAGGGCGGUGAAGUCAGACCGGAAGGACUGGUGGAGCGCUUAGAAGUGAGAAUGCCGGUAUGAGUAGCGAAAGAAGGGUGAGAAUCCCUUCCACCGAAUAUCUAAGGUUUCCUGAGGAAGGCUCGUCCGCUCAGGGUUAGUCGGGACCUAAGCUGAGGCCGAUAGGCGUAGGCGAUGGACAACAGGUAGAUAUUCCUGUACCAGUGCUAGUUGUUUGAGCAAUGGGGUGACACAGAAGGAUAGGGAAUCGCACAGAUGGAAACGUGCGUCCAAGCAGUGAGUGUGAGAAGUAGGCAAAUCCGCUUCUCGCGAAGCAUGAGCUGUGAUGGGGAAGGAAAUUAAGUACGGAAGUUCCUGAUUUCACGCUGUCAAGAAAAGCCUCUAGUUAGAUUAGUACUGCCCGUACCGCAAACCGACACAGGUAGAUGAGGAGAGAAUCCUAAGGUGAGCGAGAGAACUCUCGUUAAGGAACUCGGCAAAAUGACCCCGUAACUUCGGGAGAAGGGGUGCUCUAUUAG